AUUGAACGCUGGCGGCAGGCCUAACACAUGCAAGUCGAGCGGAGCGGCGGACGGGUGAGUAAUGCCUAGGUAUCUGCCUGGUCGUGAGGGAUAACGCCCGGAAACGGGCGCUAAUACCGCAUACUAUCAGAUGAGCCUUGGUCGGAUUAGCUAGUUGGUGGGGUAAAGGCCUACAAGGGCGACGAUCCGUAGCGGGUCUGAGUGGAUGAUCAGUCAAACGGGAACUGAGACACGGUCCAGACUCCUACGGGAGGCAGCAGUGGGGAAUAUUGCACAAGGGGCGAAAGCCUGAUCCAGCCAUGCCGCGUGAGUGAAGAAGGUCUUCGGAUUGUAAAGCUCUGUAGGUUGGGAGGCGUUACCAUCAGAGUAAGCACCGGCUAACUUCGUGCCAGCCGCCGCGGUAAUUC
rnacentral:rRNA from 1 species